rnacentral:rRNA from 1 species
GCAGUCGACGAACUCUGGUAUUGAUUGGUGCUUGCAUCAUGAUUUACAUUUGAGUGAGUGGCGAACUGGUGAGUAACACGUGGGAAACCUGCCCAGAAGCGGGGGAUAACACCUGGAAACAGAUGCUAAUACCGCAUAACAACUUGGACCGCAUGGUCCGAGUUUGAAAGAUGGCUUCGGCUAUCACUUUUGGAUGGUCCCGCGGCGUAUUAGCUAGAUGGUGAGGUAACGGCUCACCAUGGCAAUGAUACGUAGCCGACCUGAGAGGGUAAUCGGCCACAUUGGGACUGAGACACGGCCCAAACUCCUACGGGAGGCAGCAGUAGGGAAUCUUCCACAAUGGACGAAAGUCUGAUGGAGCAACGCCGCGUGAGUGAAGAAGGGUUUCGGCUCGUAAAACUCUGUUGUUAAAGAAGAACAUAUCUGAGAGUAACUGUUCAGGUAUUGACGGUAUUUAACCAGAAAGCCACGGCUAACUACGUGCCAGCAGCCGCGGUAAUACGUAGGUGGCAAGCGUUGUCCGGAUUUAUUGGGCGUAAAGCGAGCGCAGGCGGUUUUUUAAGUCUGAUGUGAAAGCCUUCGGCUCAACCGAAGAAGUGCAUCGGAAACUGGGAAACUUGAGUGCAGAAGAGGACAGUGGAACUCCAUGUGUAGCGGUGAAAUGCGUAGAUAUAUGGAAGAACACCAGUGGCGAAGGCGGCUGUCUGGUCUGUAACUGACGCUGAGGCUCGAAAGUAUGGGUAGCAAACAGGAUUAGAUACCCUGGUAGUCCAUACCGUAAACGAUGAAUGCUAAGUGUUGGAGGGUUUCCGCCCUUCAGUGCUGCAGCUAACGCAUUAAGCAUUCCGCCUGGGGAGUACGGCCGCAAGGCUGAAACUCAAAGGAAUUGACGGGGGCCCGCACAAGCGGUGGAGCAUGUGGUUUAAUUCGAAGCUACGCGAAGAACCUUACCAGGUCUUGACAUACUAUGCAAAUCUAAGAGAUUAGACGUUCCCUUCGGGGACAUGGAUACAGGUGGUGCAUGGUUGUCGUCAGCUCGUGUCGUGAGAUGUUGGGUUAAGUCCCGCAACGAGCGCAACCCUUAUUAUCAGUUGCCAGCAUUAAGUUGGGCACUCUGGUGAGACUGCCGGUGACAAACCGGAGGAAGGUGGGGAUGACGUCAAAUCAUCAUGCCCCUUAUGACCUGGGCUACACACGUGCUACAAUGGAUGGUACAACGAGUUGCGAACUCGCGAGAGUAAGCUAAUCUCUUAAAGCCAUUCUCAGUUCGGAUUGUAGGCUGCAACUCGCCUACAUGAAGUCGGAAUCGCUAGUAAUCGCGGAUCAGCAUGCCGCGGUGAAUACGUUCCCGGGCCUUGUACACACCGCCCGUCACACCAUGAGAGUUUGUAACACCCAAAGUCGGUGGGGUAACCUUUUAGGAACCAGC